AGUAUAUGGCAUAUUGUUUAGCUUGCAUGGCUAGUAAGUGGAUUCUUUAAGCACCAUUACAACCCAUUACUUCAUGGCAAAAGCCAGAAGUUGCUUUCAUACCUAAAUUAAGUUGCUUCAUACCGAUGUCCUGGGUCCUCUACUGGAAUAAUAGCUAUGAGCAUGUUCUUGUUCUGGUUGAUGCUUUUUGUAAUUGCUGUCUUAUUUACCUACUGUACACACAGUAUUCUUAUGAGCUACAGAAGGCAUUUAUAAAUGCUAUCUCCUUGUAUUGCACUCUGCAUCUUAUAGAUGCUGAUUGUGGUUGCAUGUUAGAAUCAGCAAACUUUGUAAAAUGGGGUAAUGAUUUAGGAUGCUCCAUUCACUACAUAACUCUUGAGAUGUAUCAUGCCAAUGGCCAAGUGGAGCGGUGUUUGUACUCUUUUCAAUAUGUUAAGGGUUGAGACCUAUAACAGGAAGAAUAAGUGGUCUGAAGAGCUGUGGCAUUUGCAAAAUGUCACCAAUCAGGAAACUACUCAAGCGUCUCCACUCAACUUUUUGAUUGGCAUUGGAGUGUGACACAGUACGCAGAGCACCUCAUGUUUUCCAAAAGGAAGACCUUGCUAUUGUCAUAACCAGAUCCUGGAAUGCAUGGACCUUAUAGGGUCACAAGAAUCUUGAACAUUGACCGAAAUGAGUUGAAACUUGUUGCUGGGGCUUAUGGAAAGAUCCUUCCGAUGACAGAGGUGCUGAGCACUCCAGUCUUCGACGGUGAAGAAGUUGGUGCAACCACGCCUGUCGAGGACGCCAGUGUGUCAGGAGAGGCCGUGUAAGGGAACGUCGUCGGUUUGACGUUUGUCGAACUGUCAAAUUCAAUUGACAGGAUAAGACAAGCGUCACUUCCGCCCACUUCCGCUCCAGACCGCACCGCGACCGGUGCAUGAUAUCGCUUUUGAAUCGUAUCUCUUUAUUGUUAUCCUUUGUAGCCAGAAAUUGGUAAUAUCAAGCAUUGUAUUUGUGUUAGUAAUAUUAAAACUAUUUAGUAAGUUA